CCCCUAGUAACUGCGAGUGAAGCGGGAAGAGCUCAAAUUUUGAAUCUGGCGGUCUUUGGGCCGUCCGAGUUGUAAUCUAGAGAAGCGUCUUCCGCGCUGGACCGUGUAUAAGUCUCCUGGAAGGGAGCGUCAUAGAGGGUGAGAAUCCCGUCUUUGACACGGACCGCCAGUGCUAUGUGAUGCGCUCUCGACGAGUCGAGUUGUUUGGGAAUGCAGCUCAAAACGGGUGGUAAAUUCCAUCUAAAGCUAAAUACAGGCGAGAGACCGAUAGCGAACAAGUACCGUGAGGGAAAGAUGAAAAGAACUUUGGAAAGAGAGUUAAACAGUACGUGAAAUUGCUGAAAGGGAAACGCUUGAUGUCAGUCGCGUCGCCUGGGAAUCAACCUUGCUUCUCGCUGGGUGUACUUCCUGGUCGACGGGUCAGCAUCAGUUUCGGUCGCCGUACAAGGGCGAGGGGAACGUGGCACCCUUUGGGGUGUGUUAUAGCCCUUCGUCGCAUGCGGCGGUUGGGACUGAGGAACUCAGCACGGCUUCCG
rnacentral:rRNA from 1 species